rnacentral:lncRNA from 1 species
ACAUCCAUGCUAUCUCCUAAAGCAGUCAUUCUGAAACCCAAUCUGGGGACAGUGCAGACUAAAUAAAAUUUCAUUUUGAUUUGGCCUCCCGCUGAGAAUGGGACUGCUUUGUUUCAGCCGACAGAACCAGCAAGCCAGAAAGGGUCAUUGUGGUGGAGGAAAUAUUUUUAUCUAGGCCUCAGGAAACGGUGGUCUGGCUAGCAACUGCAGUGGUGCGAAUGGUUGGAUGAAGAGUAUUUACUUGGGGCAAAACAUGCCAUCACUUACCUCUGCCCCAAAACUCCUGAACUACAAGAGCUAAUCAAUGUCAGUGGCCACCUGGAAACACCCAGUGAGGAAGGACUGUGGCAGCCACUACCCUGAAAACAAACCUUCAAUCUGAAGUGAGAUUCAAACCAGAAAUAUUUAUAAAGUCUACCUUUUCAAGAUCAUAGUGAGGAGUUUUACCACCUCAACUUUCUGAAAGUUCUGCAAUAUAUGUAGACGAUUUUGUUUGUGUAAAAGUUAAAAAAUGCGAUCCUGUUCAUGGCUCUGUUUGGUAUACAUUUUUGCUUUGUUCCUCCAGCUGCUUAUAUGAAUUUUCUGCACUUUAAAGGUUCUACUGCAAUAUAUAUAGCUUAGAUCUGUAUCAUAUUUGUCAACACAAAGUCUUACAUUAGUAAUGUUAUUUUGGAUGCUCCAUCUAGUCAUCAACCAAAGGCAGUACCUAUCCCACCUGUGAGAUGGAGCCCACUCUGUGCAGCUCCUUGGUCUAACUGGAUGGGGUCCCAAUGUCCCAGUUUUCCACAGCAGAAAAAUCUGCAUCUUCAAAUAUAUUGUGAAACUAACGUUUUAUCAUCAGCGUUUUCUGUUUUCUGCUCUUGCUUUCUGGGUCAGAAAGAUUUCCCAGCAGAUCAUGAUUAUUGCCAUCUUCACAACUGUGGCACCAUCCUCUCAUCUGCUAUUUCAUUUUAUUCCAGUGACUACAGCAUUAUUAUAAAGAUUUACUGAAUGACUUCAUAAAGCUUCCCAGUCUUGGUAUGGCCGAUCUGUGGUCUGCUUUUCAGCAAAAUAACUGAAAAAAAGUCCACAGCUGAUCUGAGGCAAUAUACAGAAGCGUUCCUAGCCUGUGUCCCUACUGUUAAUUAAAAGAGGUUCAGGAACUGAUCUCAGAGUCAAUGGAAGCAGUUGGUGAGGUCUACACUGCUUACGACUUUUCCUUCUUGGGGGCAGAUUUGUCUUUAAAUCACCUUCAAACAUAUUCUGACAACAACUGAGCGGUGUAAACCUUCAACAUGAGGUUUUCAGGGCCACAGAACCCCAUCCACACUGUGCCUGACAAUUAGAGUACACAUAAAUGGUUAAGGCCAACUACAAUACUGAGAAGCUACUAUUUAUUUAGAUAUAUGAUCUACCUUUUUACAGGGUGUUAAUUCAGGCAACUCAAAAUUCAGACCCUAAAAAGCUUCUGCUGAACCAGCUUCAUAUUAUUUGAUCACCUAUGGCUUAGACUUUCUAAAACCCCUUUUACCCAGGGUCAGGUAUUUGUCUAAAUGUCAUUGCUGAACUCCAUAGCUUCAGUGGCAGGAGAAGUCUUUACGGAAACCUGAUAGGAUACAACAUUCAGUUAUCCUCUAAAUGGGAGACUUUCAGCUGGGCCCCAGUCAAAGGCACAUGGAUUUGAGACAUUGCCUUAGCUACUGAGGUCUCACAGAGUAGCAGCAAGCAUCCUCCGUAGCUGAUGAAUCUGGGAGCCAAGCUGAAGCGAGGAGCCCAGCAUUGCCACCCGGCACUACCAGGUGAUUUCCUCAGCUACCUGGGAGCCACAUAGGCCAGAUGCCUGAAGCUAGACAUUGUGGAUGAUUUAAAACAAAACAAAACAAAACAAAACAAAA